GAUGAACGCUGACAGAAUGCUUAACACAUGCAAGUCGAUGGGGAAGUGGUGCUUGCACCAUGGUAACCAUGGCGGACGGGUGAGUAACGCGUAAGGAACUUGCCUGCGGGACUGGGAUAACAGCAGGAAACUGCUGAUAAUACCGGAUAAGGUCGUUAAGCUGCAUAGCUUAGUGAUGAAAGGAGACGCCUGCGGAGAGCCUUGCGCCCUAUUAGCUAGUUGGAGGGGUAACGGCUCACCAAGGCGAAGAUAGGUAGCCGGCCUGAGAGGGUGUACGGCCACAAGGGGACUGAGAGACGGCCCUUACUCCUACGGGAGGCAGCAGUGGGGAAUAUUGGACAAUGGGGGCAACCCUGAUCCAGCAAUUCUGUGUGCACGAAGACGGUUUUCGGAUUGUAAAGUGCUUUCAGCAGGGAAGAAGGAAGUGACGGUACCUGCAGAAGAAGCGACGGCUAAAUACGUG
rnacentral:rRNA from 1 species